rnacentral:misc_RNA from 1 species
GAUUUUGGAAUUCAGACAGCAUCACACGUAUAAACUCUAGAGAUUUCCCCACCGCCCUUGAUUUUGGUCACGAAGCCACCGUAGGAGGCGUAUGUCUCCUACACUCUUCUCAUACCAGUGCUCACUCUCAGGACGCCAUGCCAUCUCCUCCACCGCAGGCCACGCGUCAUCAUAGCCGUGUUUGGACCACUCCGGUGCCGGCGUCAUCCAUUCUCGGUUGUCAGCAUUGCAACCACUGCUCAGGCGAAGAUGAAGCUGUGGAAGGAGACUUCCAGGAGUUCCAAGACUACGACGAGUUCUAGGCGUGGGUUAGCGGCAACCCCCAGUCGGCUGCCUGUGAAGGCCGUGUUUAUCUACGUUUCUUUUCCGCACUUUGAUUUAUUGUAAGGACUAUAUGGACGUCUCAGACGUAUGAUGUAAUCGACUAUUAUUUCCCUUUUUAAUACUAUUUUGAGCACU